rnacentral:lncRNA from 1 species
CGCGGUGAUUUAACAGCUUUUGUUUUGGGCAGAAGAACCUAUGGGCACAAAAAGCAGGAACGAGUAGCGGUGGCUGAAGAACGAGCAGGAGCUUGAAUUUCAGUUUUCUUAUGAGGAAUUUUCCAGAAAAGAUAUCUUCACUGUGAAAUAACUAAAUAAAUGCCCACUCAGUACAGUCACUGUCUCCCUUUUGGAACUUGAUGGCACCUUAAGCCCAGGUUUGCCUCCACUCUAGAAACUCAUCAGAGUGAUGCCCUUCUCAAAUGGGGGAGGUCCCAAAGCGGAUAUCCUGGCAGUGUGAAAGGCCGGCUAAAGCUUUCCCUGCACUCCAAACACAGAGCUGAGACUUCCACCUAAUGUAGAAAGCUAGCACGAGCCGGCGCUGACAGAUGGAAGACUUGAGAUGUUACAAGAUUAUAUAUGGAAACACAAAAGGAGUGGAGUUGCUGGGUCAUAUGGCAAUUCAUUUGAGGAACUGAGAAGCUUAUUCCAUGGAGGCUGAACUGUUUUAUAUUCCCACCAGCAACGUUAGAGACGGGGUUUCACCGCGUUAGCCAGAAUGGUUUCUAUCUCCUGACCUCAUGAUCCGCCCACCUCGGCCUCCCAAAGUGCUGGGAUUACAGGCGUGAGCCACUGUGCCUGGCCAAACGCUGGUAGGUUUUGAGUGAGACCACAUUACAUUUAAAUAUAUUUACAAUGUUUUCUGCUCUAUUCUUUAGUAGACUUUUCCUCACGUGGUCCUACGCAUUUCUUUCUAAGUUUAUUUUCAUAUAGCCUAUCCCUGUCUACAAUUUAAAUUGGGAUCUUCUAUAUUCUAGUUAUUAUUUGUAAAUAAGAAAACUACUGACUUUUUUCUAGUAUAUUUUCUCAGAAUAGGAUUUUCUAUUUUUCUAUAAAAUGACCAAUGUUAUGAAGCUUCGUAAGUUUUGUCAAAGUGAUACACACAUACAGCAAAAAAUCAAAUAGUACAGAAGUAUAAAAGCAACAACCUCUGCCUUGCCCCUUCUCCACCUUCAGGUCCCCUUCCCAGAUACAAUAAUUUUUAGCUUUUUAUUUUUAAUUAUUCUGGUUGUUACCUACAUAACUCUGGGCAAUAUGGAAAAGUUAUUGAUUUUGUAUAUUAAUUUCAUAAUCAGUUACCUUGAUGAAUUCUCUUGUUUCUAGUAGUUUUUCUUUAGGGUUUUAAAGGGAUACAAUCAUACCAUUUGCAGUUAGUAACCAUUUUAUCUCCUCUUAUUUCCAACUUCGUACUGUUUUCUCUUGUCUAAUUUGUUUUUAAUUGGUGGGUACUUCUAGAACAAGGUUAAAUAAAAGUGGUGUUGGUGGGCGUCCUUAUUUCUGAUAUUAAUGGGAAUGAGUAUAAUGUAUAAAUAUAUAACCAUGAUUUUGGUUUUUUUCCAAGUUUUUAUCAGUAAUGAUUGCUGAGUUUUAUCAAAAUUUUUUUGGCAUCCAUUGAGAGGAUUAUAUAUUACUCUUUGACACAUUAAUGUGGUUAAUUAAAGUAACCAACUUAUUAACCUUGAAAUAGUCUUAGUUAAAUAAACCCUACUUGUCAAUGCUAUAUCAUUAUUUUAAUAUUGUACUGAACAUUUUACAAAGGUGUUUCACCAUAAGGCAUAUUGAUCUGUAAUUUUUUUUUUUCUGUUGAACUUGCUAUUGUCAGGUUUUGGUGUAUUAUGUUGGUUUUGGAGAAUAAAUUUAAAAGUUUCCUUUAUGUUAUCUAUACAUUGCCUGAAAAGAGUUUAAAUAGCAUUGAAAAUGAUCUCUUCUUUGAAGAUUUAACCAAUUUCACCUGUAAAUCUGUCUGUGCUUUGUAAUUUUGGUGAUACUGUUGACUCAAAUUCCAAAAGCAGUAAAUGCAGUGUUUUAUAUUUUUCUAUUAAAAAUGUAAAAUCAAAUUAUAUUA